UGGUCUGUUUUGUCAAAGAGCUCAUCAUAUUCCAAACACUGGUGGUAAUUAGAUGAUCCCAAUAAUUAAGGUAGGAAACGAUUGUAUGUUCUAUUGCGAAAUGUCUGGGUCUUGAUCGUUGUUUCCCUGUUUACUACUCAAAGAUAUUUUGCUUAUUAAGUCAAACGAAAUUAACUGCAAUACACUGAUCUCAAACAUAUUAGCAUAACUAGGCUACACAGAACCAUUGCGGACCCACAGUAAAAUGAGUAUUUUUAUCGUGUUAAAACAUGUCCCGGUCCAACAUGCCUAGCUCUGCCCACUGGGACGUGGCUUACGGAGCGCUCUCUGAAAUAAGAGCUCGUAUCUCGAUUCUGCCAGAUCGAGUUAUCACACAGGUAUCCAUAAUAAUAAUCACCCUCAUCGGCAACAUCUCCGAAUUUUAAUCAUUUCCUUGACCUCGGAUGACUUCAAACCGUAAGAAGGUAAUCGUGGUCGACUACAUUGGAUCAGCUGGACCGUCCACCACCCAUUUGUCAUAACAAACGGCAAUGUCAUUCUCAACCCUGGGAUCCGUGGUGGAGUUCUACAGGAGAUCCUCUGGAAACAUGGUGUAAACUAGGCGGUGGAAUGGGACAGUGCUGAGACCAAUGCAAAGUCAAUGGAGACCCUGAGACCAGAGCUGUCCGCUCCAUUGGAGGUAUCACAGCUGAUCCUCAACAGACAUCACAUCCACAUGCCUCAAUGUGGGCUGAGCCCUGGGGAUGACGACCACUCAGAAGAGGUUCCAGAGAAGACAAUAGGACCAGCCACUCUGAAGAGGACCCAGAGAAGGCAGUAGGACCAGCCACUCUGAAGAGGACCCAGAGAAGGCAGUAGGACAAGCCACUCUGAAGAGGACCCAGAGAAGGCAGUAGGACCAGCCAAUCUGAAGAGGACCCAGAGAAGGCAGUAGGACAAGCCACUCUGAAGAGGACCCAGAGAAGGCAGUAGGACCAGCCACUCUGAAGAGGACCCAGAGAAGGCAGUAGGACCAGCCACUCUGAAGAGGACCCAGAGAAUGCAGUGGGACCAGCCACUCUGAAGAGGACCCAGAGAAUGCAGUGGGACCAGCCACUCUGAAGAGGACCCAGAGAAGGCAGUAGGACCAGCCACUCUGAAGAGGACCCAGAGAAUGCAGUGGGACCAGCCACUCUGAAGAGGACCCAGAGAAUGCAGUGGGACCAGCCACUCUGAAGAGGACCCAGAGAAUGCAGUGGGACCAGCCACUCUGAAGAGGAUCCAGAGAAGGCAGUGGGAACCAGCCAUUCUGAAGAGGAUCCAGAAAAGGCAGUGGGACCAGCCAUUCUGAAGAGGAUCCACAGAAGGCAGUGGGAACCAGCCACUCUGAAGAGGACCCAGAGAAGGCAGUAGGACCAGCCACUCUGAAGAGGACCCAGAGAAGGCAGUAAGACCAGCCACUCUGAAGAGGACCCAGAGAAGGCAGUGGGAACCAGCCACUCUGAAGAGGACCCAGAGAAGGCAGUAGGACCAGCCACUCUGAAGAGGACCCAGAGAAGGCAGUAAGACCAGCCACUCUGAAGAGGACCCAGAGAAGGCAGUAGGACCAGCCACUCUGAAGAGGACCCAGAGAAGGCAGUAGGACCAGCCACUCUGAAG